rnacentral:rRNA from 1 species
GAGCGGGAGGCUAGAAUAAAGAAGCAGCUCAAGAAUCCUGAACUACCACCAUCUCCAUACGACACGGCAUGGGUUGCUAUGGUGCCCUUGCGGGGUUAUCCGAGGGCUCCACACUUCCCUCAGUGUGUCGAAUGGAUAUUGCAAAACCAACAGGACGAUGGUUCUUGGGGUAUCGGCGAAUUCGACUCAUCAACACACAAGUUUAUUCUCUUAUCCACAUUGGCUUGUGUUAUUGCACUCAAGAAAUGGAAUGUUGGCCCGGAGCACAUAAAGAGAGGACUACAUUUUGUUGGAAGAAAAUUAUCAUUCUCUAUAGAUGAGAAGAUUGCUGCUCCUAUAGGUUUCAAUAUUACUUUUCCUGGUAUGAUUAGCCUAGCCAUUGGAAUGGGCUUGGAAUUUCCUGUUAGGCAAACUAAUAUUGAUGGGAUUCUUAGCAUCCAGCAGAUUGAACUGAAAAGAUUUGCAGGGGAUAAAUCCGAUGGGAGAGAAGCAUACAUGGCUUAUGCUGCUGAAGGGUUAGGAAACCUGGUGGACUGGAAUGAAGUUAUGAAGUUCCAGAGGAAGAACGGAUCAUUGUUCAACUCUCCUUCCACUACUGCUGCUGCAGUAAUCUACUCUUAUGAUGAAAAAGCCCUCGGAUACCUAAACUUUCUCGUUAGCAAAUUUGGUAGCGCAGUACCAACAGUGUUCCCAAGAAAUAUAUCUUGUCAGCUUUCAAUGGUGGAUUCCCUUGAGAAGAUUGGAAUAUCUCAUCAUUUUUCUAGUGAGAUAAAAAGUAUCCUGGACAUGACGCACAGUUUAUGGCUACAGAGAGAUGAAGAAAUCUUGUUGGAUGUAGCAACAUGCGCAAUGGCGUUUCGUAUUUUACGGAUGAAUGGAUAUGAUGUUUCUUCAGAUGAGUUAUCCCAUGUUGCUGAAGCCUCCACUUUCAAUAAUUCACUUCAAGGAUAUCUGGAUGAUACAAAAUCUUUGUUGGAACUAUACAAGGCUUCAAGAGUUAGUGUAUCAAAAAAAGAAUUGAUCCUAGAUAACAUAGGCUACUGGUCAGGCAGCCUAUUAUUGGAGAAGUUGUGUUCGGAUAGGGUUCAUAGAGAGCCAAUGUUUGAGGAGGUGGAGUAUGCCCUUAAUUUUCCCUUUUAUGCCACAAUGGAACGGCUAGACCAUAGGAGGAACAUCGAACAUUUCGAUGUUAUGGGUUCUCAGAUGCUGAAGACAACAACAUACUUGCCAUGUCAUGUCAGCAAAGACCACCUUGCUUUGGCUGUUGAAGAUUUCACCUUUUCUCAGAUUAUUUACCAGGAUGAACUCUUGCAUCUUGAAAGUUGGGUGAAAGAGAACAGGCUGGACCAGCUACAAUUUGCACGGCAGGUGGUGACAUAUUGUUAUCUUUGUCCUUCCGCUACCAUAUUCCCUCCAGGACUAUCUGAUGCUCGGAUUUCUUGGGCCAAAAGUUCUAUACUCGCAACUAUUUCUGAUGACUUCUUCGAUGUUGCGGGAUCAAGAGAAGAGUUAGAAAACCUUGUAGCCUUAGUUGAGAAGUGGGACAAGCACCAAGAACUUCAGUUUUACUCUGAGAGAGUAAAAAUAUUAUUUUGUGCUAUAUAUACUACAGUAAAUCAGCUUGCAGAAAUGGCUUCUGCAGUACAAAACCGUGAUGUUAGCAAACACUUGAUAGAACUGUGGGUAGAUGCAUUGAGGUCUAUGAUGACUGAAGCAGAAUGGAUGUGGAGCCAAUAUUUGCCAACAAUGGAUGAGUACAUGACAAGUGCAAAUGUCUCCUACAUAUUGGGGCCUAUUGUGCUCCCGUCAUUGUACUUCGUUGGGCAAGAGCUUUCGGAGUCAGUUGUCAAAGAUCAAGAGUACAAUGAGUUAUUCAUGUUAAUGAGCACUUGUGGCCGUUUCCUGAAUGACACCCAAGGCUUUGAGAGGGAGGGGAGCCAAGGAAAAGUGAAUAGUGUUUCGCUACUUAUUCUUCAAAGUGGUGGUUCUAUGUCCACAAAAGCGGCUAAAAAGGCAAUAGAGGAAUCUAUAGCCUCGUGUCGAAAAGACUUGCUGAGGUUGGUUCUUAGGGAAGACAGUGUUGUUCCUAGGCCAUGCAAGGAGCUGUUCUGGAAGAUGUGCAAGAUAAAUCACUUGUUCUACUCUCAGAUUGAUGGGUUUAGCUCGCCAACAGCAAUGGUCGGUGCAGCAAAUGCGGUUAUCUAUGAGCCUCUCAAACUCCAAACUAGCAAUCCAUCAUCAGAUGUUAAAGUAGAAGAUUAG